rnacentral:lncRNA from 1 species
UUUUAGUUUCUUGUUAUUGUCCAUCUCCUCAGAUUGUGUAAAUUCUUUGUUAUAACUAUAUGGGUUCUUACUUUAAAGUAUGUGUGCAAUUGAUAGCCCAGUGGCCAUGGGAAUUCAAAUUGCAUCUCCUAGUGUGUUGUCUAUAGUAUGUUUAAUGAUGUCAAAAGGGGAAAAUGCAUACUUUUGUGAUAUUUGCAAUCCAAUUUGUCUAACAUGAUCCUCUAAUUUGUUGCUUUGAUUGGUGUGCUUUGAGAAAUUGACAUGUCGCAGGUUGAAGUUAUUCACACAAGAAGCCAUGGUUUGUCAUCAUCAAAAAGAGGGAAAUUGUUUGAUCGAGUAAGAUUUUGAUGAUUGAAAAAUAUGGGAGGAGAUGCAGGGUACUGGUUACUGAAACGUGUUCCACUCAAAUAGAGUCAAAUUGGGAUUAAGAGAAAAUUUAUCACAUGAAGAAAAAGGAUUAUAGUGGAAGUUUACAAAUAAAGGGAAGUUGUAUAAGGAAGGAUACCUACUCCCAACUCAAAGAAAGAGGAGUCUUGCAUCUAUUAAGGGUUUCACAAAGAAAUUUGCACACUUACAGGGAGAGCUACGAGAAGAAUACAAUAAAAUAAGAGAGAGUUUAGAGUUCAGAUUAAAGAUUCAAUUUCAUUG